UCUCUCUCCAGAACCUCUUCUUGGGGACCCCUCUCUGAAGCCUCUUCUUGGGAGCAGCUUUCUGGAGGAAAACGGGCAGCAUAGUUGUGCUGUUGCUGAUGGAUGGAGAUGUGGAAAUGCUUCAUGCAGGGAUCCAGGGGGUCUGCUCGCACCGUGAUGGUGACCGGCUUCCGAAUACCCAGAGACUGCCUCUUCUCUACUGUCACAACAUCAAUUUCUUCAUUCUCUGUCCGAGAAAAGAGAUCAAGAGAAGAAACACAUCCCAUGAGAAACACAAACAUAGACCCUACAGCUUUAGCUGUCUACGCUGGUGCUUGGGAAGGUCGCCUGCCCCACCUCCUUCCCUGGACUAGAAGGUUAGAUUUGUAAUCAUAGGUCGGCGAAGCUGCAGGAACUUCACAAAGGUACAAGCGACCAUUUCCAAACUACCUGCACCAGAGGCAGAGACUGGGCAGCAGAAUGUCCCAGAUAUGGGGCUCAUAACACCAGAGACCUGGAGACACCUGGACACGCCCUUCUCAUUCACUGGCUUGAAGGUCUCUUAGGUUAACCUAACCAGGAGAGGGGCAAUUGGGAGAAAAGUCUCCUCCUGCUCCACACAUUUUGCAGCCUCCACACAGAAGUCCACCUUAAUGGAUCUCGGCCUCGCAAAGGAAGAGCUCCGUUCUCAGCUUCUUUGCAUAUCAGGAAGCUUGAGCCCCUUUGUCAGGAAGGCUUCCAUUGUGUGGACAAUCGCAUUAUUUCUCCAUUAAUAAACCUGACCAUUCAGCCCUCCUGGCCCCAAA
rnacentral:lncRNA from 1 species